GUCCGCAUGGUGUAGUGGUUUAGCAUUUCUCUUUCCGGGCCAUGGAUGGGGAAUGGAGACGGUCCGGGGUUCGAAUCCCUGUGUGGAUU
rnacentral:tRNA from 2 species